AGUGUCUGAGAACCCCAGUUGUAUCUGGAACAGGCCCCAAUUUCUCUCUAGGAGAGCUACAGGGACACCUGGCUUAUGAUUUAAACCCUGCGGGAACUGGCAUGAGAAGGACCCUCCCUAGCACCUCAUCAAGUGGGAGUAAGAGACACAAGUCUGGCUCCCUGGAAGAUGAUGUAGACACAAGUCCUGGGGGAGAGUUCUACACAUCUCCAUCUUCGCCAACCGGAAGCAGCCGGAACUGGACUGAGGACAUGGA